AUAUCAGUCAUGCAUAGCAUAUCAAUAAGCGGAGGAAAAGAAACUAACAAGGAUUCCCUUAGUAACGGCGAGUGAAGCGGGAAGAGCUCAAAUUUGAAAUCUUCAAGGUUUUACCUUGACGAAUUGUAGUUUAAAGAAGUGUUUUCUGUUGAAGUUUUGGUAAAAGUUCUUUGGAAUAGGACAUCAUAGAGGGUGAGAAUCCCGUACUUUGACCAUUACUUUCAGCUUUGUGAUACACUUUCAAAGAGUCGGAUUGUUUGGGAAUGCAGUCCAAAAUGGGUGGUAAAUUUCAUCUAAAGCUAAAUAUUGGCGAGAGACCGAUAGCGAACAAGUACCGUGAGGGAAAGAUGAAAAGAACUUUGAAAAGAGAGUUAAACAGUACGUGAAAUUGUCAAAAGGGAAGCGUUUGACACCAGUGUUGUUCUCUCGAAAAUCAAUUAAAAAGAGUUGGAUUUUGUGUUGUAUUGACUUUAUCAGCUUUCUUCACUCUUCUCCAGCUUUUUUUAAUGCACUUUUCGUUUAACAAGUCAACAUCAGUUUCUUUUGUUGUAAAAAGGUCAUUGGAAGGUGGCUUUCUCUUCGGAGAAAGUGUUUAUAGCCUUUGACUCAUGCAAUCGGAGAGACUGAGGUCUGCAGCGUAGAUCCUUCGGGGUUAGAUACAUUUGCUGCUAAGUUAUAGCUUUUCAUAGACAACUUGUUGACUAUGUUUAGUCUUGUAGCUUACUCGCUUAUGCUAUUUUACCUACGCUUAGGAUGUUGAACUCUAUCACACACAG
rnacentral:rRNA from 1 species